ncrna:unclassified sequences skipping-rope RNA
GGACGUUGAGGUCGGAAAUGGCUCCCGACACUCCCGAAAGGGAACCUGAGAUGCAGGAUACGCCGCCCUGCCGAUGUCC